UACGGGGGGGGCAAGCGUUGUUCGGAAUUACUGGGCGUAAAGGGCUCGUAGGCGGCCCGGUCAGCGUGCGGUGAAAGCUCGGGGCUCAACCCCGAGUCGGCCGUGCGAACUACUGGGCUGGAGCACUGUAGAGGCAGGCGGAAUUCCGGGUGGUAGCGGUGGAAUGCGUAGAGAUCCGGAAGAACACCGGUGGCGAAGGCGGCCUGCUGGGCAGUUGCGUGACAC
rnacentral:rRNA from 1 species